rnacentral:lncRNA from 1 species
AAGCCAAAAACUGCAUUUUAACCCUAUGUUCCAUUUUUAGCCAUGGCGGUCAUGUUUUUUGACGAAACAGAAAAUAAAACACAAACUUUAUUCUAGAUACCCUAAGGAUCAUUCAGCUUAAGUUUGGUUGGAAUUGGUUCAGUAGUUUCAGAGGAGAAGAUGUUUGAAAUAGUUUACACCAGACGGACGCCAAGUGAUGGCUAAAGCUCACCGUUCCUUUGGAACGGUGAGCUAAAAAACAGAGCAAAACACAAAAACCUUACAUUAACCAAUGAAAAUUAGGUCAAGGACAGAUGAUACAGGCUCGGCA